GAUGAACGCUGGCGGCGUGCCUAAUACAUGCAAGUCGAGCGAACGGACGAGAAGCUUGCUUCUCUGAUGUUAGCGGCGGACGGGUGAGUAACACGUGGAUAACCUACCUAUAAGACUGGGAUAACUUCGGGAAACCGUAGCUAAUACCGGAUAAUAUUUUGAACCGCAUGGUUCAAAAGUGAAAGACGGUCUUACUGUCACUUAUAGAUGGAUCCGCGCUGCAUUAGCUAGUUGGUAAGGUAACGGCUUACCAAGGCAACGAUGCAUAGCCGACCUGAGAGGGGGAUCGGCCACACUGGAACUGGGACACGGUCCAGACUCCUACGGGAGGCAGCAGUAGGGAAUCUUCCGCAAUGGGCGAAAGCCUGACGGAGCAACGCCGCGUGAGUGAUGAAGGUCUUCGGAUCGUAAAACUCUGUUAUUAGGGAAGAACAUAUGUGUAAGUAACUGUGCACAUCUUGACGGUACCUAAUCAGAAAGCCACGGCUAACUACGUG
rnacentral:rRNA from 1 species